CGAGGUCCUGCCUGCCCAGUGACACCCAGUUAAACGGCCGCGGUAUUUUGACCGUGCUAAGGUAGCGCAAUCACUUGUCUUUUAAAUGAGGACCUGUAUGAAUGGCGGAACGAGGGCUUAACUGUCUCCUUUUUCUAGUCAAUGAAAUUGAUCUGCCCGUGCAGAAGCGGGCAUAACCAUACAAGACGAGAAGACCCUUUGGAGCUUAAGAUAAAAGGCCAACUAUGUCAAAGGUCCCAAUAAAAUUCAAACCAAACAAACAGUUAACUGGCCACUACCUUCGGUUGGGGCGACCACGGGGGAAAAUAAAGCCCCCACGCAGAAUGGGGAUCACACCCUAAACUAAGAGGGACACCUCUAAGUCACAGAACAUCUGACCAAAAGAUCCGGCCAACCAAGCCGAUCAACGGACCAAGUUACCCUAGGGAUAACAGCGCAAUCCCCUCCAAGAGUUCAUAUCGACAAGGGGGUUUACGACCUCGAUGUUGGAUCAGGACAUCCUAAUGGUGCAGCCGCUAUUAAGGG
rnacentral:rRNA from 1 species